GGCCCCAUCGUCUAACGGCUAGGACGCCGCCCUUUCACGGCGGAAAUAGGGGUUCAAUUCCCCUUGGGGUCA
rnacentral:tRNA from 1 species